rnacentral:rRNA from 1 species
GACGAACGCUGGCGGCGUGCUUAACACAUGCAAGUCGAGCGGUAAGGCCCUUUCGGGGGUACACGAGCGGCGAACGGGUGAGUAACACGUGAGUAAUCUGCCCUUCACUUCGGGAUAACCAUCGGAAACGAUGGCUAAUACCGGAUAUGACCAAGUCUUGCAUGAGAUCUUGGGGGAAAGUUUUUCGGUGGAGGAUGUUGCUCGCGGCCUAUCAGCUUGGUGGUGGGGUAACGGCCUGCCAAGGCUUCGACGGGUAGCCGGCCUGAGAGGGUGACGGGCCACACUGGGACUGAGACACGGUCCAGACUCCUACGGGAGGCAGCAGUGGGGAAUAUUGGACAAGGGGCGAAAGCCUGAUCCAGCAACGCCGCGUGAGGGAUGACGGCCUGCGGGUUGUAAACCUCUUUCAGCACCGACGAAGCGCCUUUUACGGUGGUGACGGUAGGUGCAGAAGAAGGACCGGCCAACUACGUGCCAGCCGCCGCGGUAAUCC